GCCUGCUCAAGAUGUAAAAUUUAAAAUCUACUUUAUUACUUUAGUUUUUUAUAAUUAAGUAUGAUUUUCUCAUGCCAUUGUCACAUUCAUUUCUUAAUAUACCCGACAGUAAAAGUUUCUGCGCUACAUGAGUUUCUCUGUAGGAAUGAGGCAUCAUGUUAACCUCACACCAUCCCUGCGUCUGAUGAACCACGGUAAGCAUGGAGUUCCUUAACGUUGGGCCUGAUUUUGAUCUGCUUGAAUGAAACACACGUGUGCAUGGAAACACUACAUAACUGUUUGCAAACUGUUGUCUUUAUUUUUGAGGUUGAAAAAUGAUCCUUGGCUCUUUAGUAAUUGAAAGCAAAGCCCUGCCUGAUUGUGAAACGAAAGAAUAGGGAAGACGUUAGGAAAAUGUGCUCAUCGGCUUUCUCCAGCUGCCUGCCUCAAAGGCAGGGGUUCGGCAGGAGGAAGCCCGGCAGAUUAGGCCGUCCCCAGGGCUGGGUCUGCCCAGGGUGGCCACAAUCUUCCCUGAGCUGACGAAGUCGAAACCACAGGACGUGAAGAAAUUCCUCCAUUCUGAAAAAUAACGUCAAAGAUGGCUUAUAAGGAUAAAAAAGUUUUCAAAAUGUUAUUUAGACAAAACUGGCAGGUAAAAUGACAUUUGUUGGUCUAUUCAGAACCAUCUACCGAAUAUGUUGGGACCUGGCUUUCUGGGGACAGCGAACAUUUUCUCAUGGAUUUGACAUCUCCACUGUUGAUGUUGGGCACCUACCAAAAGACAUAGGAAGACAAUAAAAUUUCUUGGAACCAUAUGCUCCAUGAAGAUGGACAAAAUAGCAUAGAAGGGAUGUUGAAUGACUCAGUAGGCACUAUCUUUGUGUGGUCAGAGAAGACCCUCCUGAGAAGGUGACAUGGGGCUUGUCAAGCCAAGCAGAGAGGAGCCCAAGGUGAAAUACUGCAAGGGUCUUGGAGUGUCUGAGAAACAGCCAGGAGUCCAGGAGGAAAGAAAGAGGCCCAUUCACCGUGAUCGGCCGUUGGCUGGACUGACCACGCAGGGGUGAAGGGGGCCGAGCUCCCCGCGUCCCAGCCUCCUCCCCAGUGACGCACCUGUCAGCACAGCAGAACCAGUUCUGGCGGGAGCAGACUCCAGUUUUCUCAAUCAGCAGGUGCAGUGAACUGUUCGGUGGGAACACAGGAUGUGGAUCCCAGUCUCCUGCCAGCACUCUCCUCCUCCUCCUCCUCCUCGGUGUGGGACUCUCUUCUUAGACCCCUAACUGGAGAGUCACAGUUUGGUAGCACUUACACUCUGUGCCCUCCAGUACCGAGACCAAACUGCCAUGUUUCUGGUUUUUGGAGAAAUAGAACACUUUCCUGAGUGUGGUCGGUCUUUUGGUUUCCUCCAGAAAAGACUGUUUGUGAAGUGACUUCAUUCCCUGACUUGAGCCUGCUUUGAAAGUCCUGCCUUCCUCCACCUUCUCCUCCACACUGUGUCCUUAGACCCUCCUGGAGGCCAUUCCCUUGACACCUCCCUCCAGGCUGUCCUCAGAUCUACUGCUUUCAGAGUUUCCAUAUUAUGGAAAUUUCCAUAUUCCAUAGUGUUCUUUUAUAUCUACUAAUGAUUGCAUAUAAAUAUGAAUCCUGCAAAUCACGUGUAUUGUGUGUGGGUAUAAAAUGAACAUAUAUGCACAUAUACAUCUGUAAGUUUGUGAGGCACAAUACAGCUAGUCAUAUUUCUUACCUACCCAGUAAAUGACUUUACCCAUGGUCCAGCCUCAAGACACACUUUCUGAAGGAUGAUUUCAUGACAUUUUAAGCGGUAGACUGUGCUAGAUAAUCUUUAUUGGCAAGUGGCAUGUUUUGAACCACUAGUUCCUUGAGGAUCCUUUCUCAACCAGGGUUCCACAAGAGAAGCAAGCCCUACUGAAAAUGAUUUGUGACUAUGUUCUUUAUUCUCACGAGUCUGGCACUAUUCUAGAGACAGAGAAGGUACUUCAUUAAAUAUGAGUGAAGCCUCAGGGCAUCAGGGCUUCUCCCUCUGGCAGGACUGGUAGAGCAGGGCUG
rnacentral:lncRNA from 12 species